rnacentral:ncRNA from 1 species
GUCAUCGCACGCGGGUGUCCGUCGGCUCUCGUCGCCUAGAGCGUCGAGAGGCCAAGGGCUGAGAAUCCACCGCUCGAACUUGAUCGCUUUCAUAAGCGCGUAAGGAGAUGCUAUGACCACGAGA